UACGUAGGGGGCAAGCGUUGUCCGGAAUCAUUGGGCGUAAAGAGCGCGUAGGCGGCCCUGUAAGUCCGCUGUGAAAGUCAAGGGCUCAACCCUUGAAUGCGGGUGGAUACUGCAGGGCUAGAGUCCGGAAGAGGCGAGUGGAAUUCCUGGUGUAGCGGUGAAAUGCGCAGAUAUCAGGAGGAACACCAGCGGCGAAGGCGGCAUCCUGGUCCUGUACUGACGCUGAGGCGCGAGAGCGUGGGGAGCGAACUGG
rnacentral:rRNA from 1 species